GCGCUCUUAGUUUAAUUCGAUAGAACGUAGGUCUCCAAAACCCGAUGUCGUGCGUUCAAAUCCUACAGAGCGUG
rfam:Erythranthe guttata cultivar DTN x IM62 scaffold_120_contig_19, whole genome shotgun sequence.